AUGGGGCGCGGGCCGGUGCAGCUGCGGCGGAUCGAGAACAAGAUAAACCGGCAGGUGACCUUCUCCAAGCGCCGCAGCGGGCUGCUCAAGAAGGCACACGAGAUCUCCGUGCUCUGCGACGCCGAGGUCGCGCUCAUCGUCUUCUCCACCAAGGGGAAGCUAUACGAGUACUCCAGCCAGGACAGUAGCAUGGAUGUGAUUCUUGAACGUUACCAACGUUACUCAUUUGAAGAAAGAGCUGUACUGGAUCCAAGUAUUGGAAACCAGGCAAACUGGGGAGAUGAAUAUGGAAGUUUGAAGAUAAAACUCGAUGCACUCCAGAAGAGUCAAAGGCAACUCUUGGGUGAACAAUUGGACCCACUCACCACAAAAGAACUCCAACAGUUGGAACAACAGCUUGAUAGUUCUUUGAAGCACAUAAGGUCAAGAAAGAAUCAACUUCUCUUUGAGUCUAUAUCUGAGCUUCAAAAGAAGGAGAAGUCAUUAAAAGAUCAGAAUGGCGUCCUGCAGAAGCACCUCGUAGAGACAGAAAAGGAGAAAAAUAACGUUUUGUCAAAUAUUCAUCACCAAGAGCAGUUGAAUGGAGCAACAAAUAUUCAUCACCAGGAGCAGCUGAAUGGAGCAACAACAAGCUCACCGUCACCUACACCAGCGACAGCCCAAGAUUCCAUGGCGACUCCAAAUAUUGGGCCAUAUCAAUCUAGAGAAUCAGGAGGGGGGAAUCCAGAACCUCAGCCGUCUCCAGCACAAGCAAACAACAGCAAUCUACCACCGUGGAUGCUCUCCACCAUCAGCAACAGAUGA
rnacentral:rRNA from 1 species